rnacentral:rRNA from 1 species
AUGGAGCUACCACCAUGGGCGCCCUUCCUCGCCGUCGUGCUCGCCACCAUUCUCUUCUUGAAGGCCGUCUUCCGCCGCAAAGGCACGUGCAACCUCCCGCCUGGCCCCAAGCCAUGGCCGAUCAUCGGCAACCUCAACCUCAUAGGUGCACUCCCGCACCGCUCCAUCCACGCGCUCUCCAAGCAGUACGGCCCGCUCAUGCAGCUCCGUUUCGGGUCCUUCCCUGUCGUUGUUGGCUCCUCGGCCGAGAUGGCCAAGCUCUUCCUCAAGACCCACGACGUGGUGUUCACCGACCGGCCCAGGACCGCCGCCGGCAAGUACACCGGCUACGAUAACAGCACCAUCACAUGGUCCCCGUACAACGCGCACUGGCGCCAGGCGCGCAGGGUGUGCCUUGCGGAGCUCUUCAGCGCGAGGCGGCUCGAGUCGUACGCCUACAUCCGGCGCGAGGAGACGCGCGCCCUCCUGUGCGGCCUGCACGAGGCCUCCGGGCGCCUCGUGCUGCUCAAGGACCACCUGUCCACCCUGAGCCUGAACGUCAUCUCGCGCAUGGUGCUGGGCAGGAAGUACCUGGAGAAGCAGGCGGCGGGCGAGGACGGCUCGGCGACCAUGGCGCCGGAGGAGUUCAAGUGCAUGAUAGACGAGCUCUUCUUCCUCAACGGCGUGCUCAACAUCGGCGACUCCAUCCCAUGGCUCGACUGGAUGGACCUUCAGGGGUACGUCAGGAGGAUGAAGAAGCUGAGCAAGAAGUUCGAUCGAUUCCUAGAACAUGUCUUGGACGACCACAACGAGCGGCGGCGCCUCCAGGGCGAGAACUUCGUGUCACGGGACAUGGUUGACGUGCUGUUGGAGAUAGCCGGCGACCCAAAUCUUGAGGUCAAGCUCCACCGGAAUGGCGUCAAAGCUUUCAUUCAGGACCUCAUCGCCGGUGGCACGGAAACCACGGCGAUCACAGUGGAGUGGGCCAUGUCGCAGAUGCUCAAGAAACCCGAGGUGUUCUCCAAGGCCACAGAGGAGCUGGACCGUGUGGUGGGGCGAGAACGAUGGGUGACGGAGGACGACAUCCCCAGCCUUCCCUAUGUGGAGGCCAUCGUCAAAGAAACCAUGCGGCUGCACCCGGUGGCGCCCAUGCUGGCACCCCGUUUGUCCCGUGAGGACGCUUCCGUCGGUGGCUACAACAUCCCCGUUGGUACGCGCGUGCUCAUCAACGUGUGGUCCAUCGGCCGUGACCCGGCAGUGUGGGAUUCGCCGGAGGAGUUCGUACCGGAACGGUUCGUCGGCAGCAAGAUUGACAUCAAGGGGCAUGACUUCGAGCUGCUGCCAUUUGGGUCCGGGCGGCGGAUGUGCCCCGGAUACAGUCUGGGACUGAAGGUGAUCCAUGUGAGCCUCGCCAACCUGCUGCACGGCUUUGUGUGCAAGCUCCCCGAUGGCGUGACGACGGAUCAGCUGAGCAUGGAGGAGAUCUUCGGCCUGUCGACCCCGCGCAAGUUCCCGCUACAGGUCGUGAUGAAACCCAAGCUCCAGGGCCACCUCUACGCAAGGGGUCAUUAG